UUUAAACAUUCCCUGUAGAAA
rnacentral:piRNA from 1 species